CAGUCAUAUGCUUGUCUCAAAGAUUAAGCCAUGCAUGUCUAAGUAUAAGCAAUCUAUACGGUGAAACUGCGAAUGGCUCAUUAAAUCAGUUAUCGUUUAUUUGAUAGUACCUUACUACUUGGAUAACCGUGGUAAUUCUAGAGCUAAUACAUGCUAAAAACCCCGACUUCGGAAGGGGUGUAUUUAUUAGAUAAAAAACCAAUGCCCUUCGGGGCUCCUUGGUGAUUCAUAAUAACUUAACGAAUCGCAUGGCCUUGUGCCGGCGAUGGUUCAUUCAAAUUUCUGCCCUAUCAACUUUCGAUUGUAAGGUAGUGGCUUACAAUGGUUUCAACGGGUAACGGGGAAUUAGGGUUCUAUUCCGGAGAGGGAGCCUGAGAAACGGCUACCACAUCCAAGGAAGGCAGCAGGCGCGCAAAUUACCCAAUCCCGACACGGGGAGGUAGUGACAAUAAAUACUGAUACAGGGCUCUUUUGGGUCUUGUAAUUGGAAUGAGUACAAUUUAAAUCCCUUAACGAGGAACAAUU
rnacentral:rRNA from 1 species